GUAUAAAGUACCGUUAUUUGUUAAUCGCCUUUGAUUGGGUUUAAAUUCGAGUACUUACAGUUCAAUAGACGAUUUCAAUACGAAUUGAGUUACACCCAAUUAGCUGUUUAGUAUGUUAUAAAAGGAAGAAAAGAAACAGUUUAGAUAUAUUAGUGGUACCUUUUCAUUCUUUAGCCAUGCUGCCUCUCCAUAUCCCAAACCGUCCAAAUGAUCCACCAGAUUCCAUCUAUACAACUAUCAAGCUUGUACUUCGCCGUGUUUAUAUCAUCCUAUCUUGUCUACUGCCUGAUCCCAAGCCUAAUUCUCUUAUCACAACACCAUCAAUCUCUAUCACAAGAACCAUAUGUUACCUAUCACUUCAGUCUAGAUUCCAGGUACCGAUUCAAAAUCGUUUACCUUACUACGUCCAUGACAUUGAAAUUCAAAGAUACCAACCCAAGAGCUCAAACUUUGGCAAGACUACCUUCAGUCUUUCGUUCCAGGCAGCUAUAGCCUUGGCACUUUCAUUCCAGAGCUCUUCCACAGCUCAAGAUCAGCCUCAUUUGCAGUCUCUAUAUGCCAUUCUAGUGGCCAUGGUGAUUGCCGUUGCGGCGUCUUUCAUAGGGAUCCACCUGCGAGAUUCUUGCCCAAGAACUGCUAGCAUUGUUGAGAAAAUAGGGUCUCUUUCUGCUUUAACUGGGAUCAUCUUGCUAGUGGGUGUUUUCCUUCCAGGAAAGUUAAGUUGGAUCAGUUGGAUAGUUGGUUCUUUAUCAUUUCUAGCUCUUUUAUGGUCCUUGAGAUAAUUAUAUGUAAAUUAUAAGUAACUUGAAAUUGAUUGAAGUCAUAGGAGACUAUGACAAGAUGCAACUCCGCCUGUAUUGAAACAGCCGGUCCCAAGCCCGGAUAAAGGAGGAGGGUUAAAAAGAAACAAAGAGCUGAAAAUUUAUAAUAUUAACUCAUAUUUAUGAAAAAUAUUUAAUCUAAUUAGUUGGUGGUAUGAACCUGUCAUUAUAGGUAAGUCAUAUGGUGGUGGGAACUAGUGAUCUGGAGGGUCGUGAUGUCUCAAAUUCUACCAGCCUUGGGAAACAAAUGAUGAAGCUAACUAUGGAAGAUUUUUGGGGCCAACUAUCACAGGCAAAUAUCUCUGGCAAUAGUUGUUGAUAAAAAUAUAUUGCAGCACUAUUCCUGCAAAGGUAUUGCAAUGAGAUUGAGAUGGUCAGUGGCAGUUGUGUGAUAGAAUUUGACACCAACAACAAUUCAGCUGCUAAUAAUCGUAUCAGGAAUAGGUGCAAUAACUACUCGAUUGAUACAGAAGAAAAAAAAAGACUUACUCAAAUGGGACCGAAUCUCCAUUGUACUAGCUUUUACUUCCCUACUUGCACUCCUUGGGGUCUCUUAUUUUUCAACAACUGAUGGGAAAUUCUUUCCAAAGACAUUUAGACACACAUGGUCAUAUGUUGUGUUUAUAAUGGCGAUCAAUGUUGCCUUUUACUUGCCUAUUAAUGGAUUUAUUUUGAGCAAGACAUAUCCUAAUAUAGGCAAGGCAUUUAGACUGAUUGCCCUAGUAGGAUUGGACCUUUCUUUUACUGUAUUGUCAUGGACUCUGCUACCACCUGACUUUAACUGGCUUCCAUGGUUGUUCUUUAUUGCGACAUUUGGGGUAGUGCUCUACCAUAUUGCAAACAUCUGCUAUGUACAAACUGUGGAUCAAAGAGAGAUUCCAGGAUAGAUGCUGAUCAUCUUUUACCCAAAGAUAUGAUAUAUUUCAAGGUCAUACAUAAAACAAAGACAAACAUGCUUGGUA